GUGCUCACUUUGGCACCACAUAUACUAAAAUUGGAACGAUACAGAGAUUAGCAUGGCCCCUGCACAAGGAUGACACACAAAUUUGUGAAAAUUAAGAAAAAUAA
rnacentral:snRNA from 1 species